rnacentral:tRNA from 1 species
GGCGCUUUAGCCAAGUGGUAAGGCACGAGUCUGCAAAACUCUUAUUCAUUGGUUCGAGUCCAAUAAGCGCCUCCA